rnacentral:rRNA from 1 species
ACUCCUACGGGAGGCAGCAGUGGGGAAUAUUGCACAAUGGGGCAAAGCCUGAUGCAGCAACGCCGCGUGAGUGAUGAAGGCCUUCGGGUUGUAAAGCUCUGUCUUUGGGGACGAUUAUGACGGUACCCAAGGAGGAAGCCACGGCUAACUACGUGCCAGCAGCCGCGGUAAUACGUAGGUGGCAAGCGUUGUCCCCAGCAGCCGCGGUAAU